GUCACGCCGUAACGUUGGCGCUAGGUGUGGGGCCAUUCCACGGUCUCUGUGCCGUAGCUAACGCAUUAAGCGCCCCGCCUGGGGAGUACGGCCGCAAGGCUAAAACUCAAAGGAAUUGACGGGGGCCCGCACAAGCGGCGGAGCAUGUGGAUUAAUUCGAUGCAACGCUAAGAACCUUACCUGGGUUUGACAUGCGCCAGACGCGUUUCAGAGAUGGGCGUUCCCUUGUGGUUGGUGUGCAGGUGGUGCAUGGCUGUCGU
rnacentral:rRNA from 1 species